rnacentral:rRNA from 2 species
UGAUUUACAUUUGAGUGAGUGGCGAACUGGUGAGUAACACGUGGGAAACCUGCCCAGAAGCGGGGGAUAACACCUGGAAACAGAUGCUAAUACCGCAUAACAACUUGGACCGCAUGGUCCGAGCUUGAAAGAUGGCUUCGGCUAUCACUUUUGGAUGGUCCCGCGGCGUAUUAGCUAGAUGGUGGGGUAACGGCUCACCAUGGCAAUGAUACGUAGCCGACCUGAGAGGGUAAUCGGCCACAUUGGGACUGAGACACGGCCCAAACUCCUACGGGAGGCAGCAGUAGGGAAUCUUCCACAAUGGACGAAAGUCUGAUGGAGCAACGCCGCGUGAGUGAAGAAGGGUUUCGGCUCGUAAAACUCUGUUGUUAAAGAAGAACAUAUCUGAGAGUAACUGUUCAGGUAUUGACGGUAUUUAACCAGAAAGCCACGGCUAACUACGUGCCAGCAGCCGCGGUAAUACGUAGGUGGCAAGCGUUGUCCGGAUUUAUUGGGCGUAAAGCGAGCGCAGGCGGUUUUUUAAGUCUGAUGUGAAAGCCUUCGGCUCAACCGAAGAAGUGCAUCGGAAACUGGGAAACUUGAGUGCAGAAGAGGACAGUGGAACUCCAUGUGUAGCGGUGGAAUGCGUAGAUAUAUGGAAGAACACCAGUGGCGAAGGCGACUCUCUGGUCUGCAACUGACGCUGAGGCUCGAAAGCAUGGGUAGCGAACAGGAUUAGAUACCCUGGUAGUCCAUACCGUAAACGAUGAAUGCUAAGUGUUGGAGGGUUUCCGCCCUUCAGUGCUGCAGCUAACGCAUUAAGCAUUCCGCCUGGGGAGUACGGCCGCAAGGCUGAAACUCAAAGGAAUUGACGGGGGCCCGCACAAGCGGUGGAGCAUGUGGUUUAAUUCGAAGCUACGCGAAGAACCUUACCAGGUCUUGACAUACUAUGCAAAUCUAAGAGAUUAGACGUUCCCUUCGGGGACAUGGAUACAGGUGGUGCAUGGUUGUCGUCAGCUCGUGUCGUGAGAUGUUGGGUUAAGUCCCGCAACGAGCGCAACCCUUAUUAUCAGUUGCCAGCAUUAAGUUGGGCACUCUGGUGAGACUGCCGGUGACAAACCGGAGGAAGGUGGGGAUGACGUCAAAUCAUCAUGCCCCUUAUGACCUGGGCUACACACGUGCUACAAUGGAUGGUACAACGAGUUGCGAACUCGCGAGAGUAAGCUAAUCUCUUAAAGCCAUUCUCAGUUCGGAUUGUAGGCUGCAACUCGCCUACAUGAAGUCGGAAUCGCUAGUAAUCGCGGAUCAGCAUGCCGCGGUGAAUACGUUCCCGGGCCUUGUACACACCGCCCGUCACACCAUGAGAGUUUGUA